rnacentral:tRNA from 1 species
AUUUUUUUAGUAUAGUUAGUACUGAUGACUUCCAAUCAUCAAGCCUUGGUUUAACCCCAAGAAAAGAUA